rnacentral:rRNA from 1 species
AUUGAACGCUGGCGGCAGGCCUAACACAUGCAAGUCGAACGAGUGGCGGACGGGUGAGUAAUGUCUGGGAAACUGCCCGCUGGAGGGGGAUAACUACUGGAAACGGUAGCUAAUACCGCAUACACUCGGAUGUGCACAGAUGGGAUUAGCUAGUAGGUGGGGUAAAGGCUCACAUAGGCGACGAGCCCUAGCUGGUCGGAGAGGAUGACCAGCCACACUGGAACUACGACACGGUCCAGAAUCCUACGGGAGGCAGCAGUGGGGAAUAUUGCACAAUGGGCGCAAGCCUGAUGCAGCCAUGCCGCGUGUAUGAAGAAGGCCUUCGGGUUGUAAAGUACUUUCAGCGGGGAGGCGUUACCCGCAGAAGAAGCACCGGCUAACUCCGUGCCAGCAGCCGCGGUAAUUC